UUUAGCAGCCAUAUCACCCUGUAGUACACACCUUUAGAUUAACUGAAGCUAAGCAGGGUUGAGCCUGGUCAGUACCUGGAUGGGAGACCUCCAGAGAAAACUAGGUUGCUGUUGGAA
rnacentral:rRNA from 1 species